GAGAGUUAAACAGUACGUGAAAUUGUUGAAAGGGAAACGAUUGAAGCCAGUCAUGCCGGUGGGAAAUCAGCUCCCGGGGUAACCAGGGAAGUGCACUUUCUCGCAAGGCAGGUUAGCGUCAGUUUCGCCAGUCGUAAAAAGUCCGUCGGAAGGUAGCUCCAUUCGGAGUGUUAUAGGCAGCGGUCAAUGCGACGUGCGGGAUUGAGGAUUGCAGCGGGUGCCCUUCGGGGCUAAGUGCCUGACCCUUGUUCGAGAUCGUCUCGGCAGCAGCGUGCUGGUGACGAGCACGAUUCGCGGACACGGGGUUUAGCGUCACGGUAAACUCGUUAAGGAUGCUGACGUAAUGGCUUCAAACGA
rnacentral:rRNA from 1 species